GACGAACGCUGGCGGCGUGCCUAAUACAUGCAAGUAGAACGCACAGUUUAUACCGUAGCUUGCUACACCAUAAACUGUGAGUUGCGAACGGGUGAGUAACGCGUAGGUAACCUGCCUGGUAGCGGGGGAUAACUAUUGGAAACGAUAGCUAAUACCGCAUAAUAUUGAUUAUUGCAUGAUAAUUGAUUGAAAGAUGCUAUUGCAUCACUACCAGAUGGACCUGCGUUGUAUUAGCUAGUAGGUGAGGUAACGGCUCACCUAGGCGACGAUACAUAGCCGACCUGAGAGGGUGAUCGGCCACACUGAGACUGAGACACGGCCCAGACUCCUACGGGAGGCAGCAGUAGGGAAUCUUCGGCAAUGGACGAAAGUCUGACCGAGCAACGCCGCGUGAGUGAAGAAGGUUUUCGGAUCGUAAAGCUCUGUUGUAAGAGAAGAACGGGUGUGAGAGUGGAAAGUUCACACUGUGACGGUAUCUUACCAGAAAGGGACGGCUAACUACGUA
rnacentral:rRNA from 1 species